UGAGGAAUAUUGGUCAAUGGGCGCGAGCCUGAACCAGCCAAGUAGCGUGAAGGAUGAAGGUCCUAUGGAUUGUAAACUUCUUUUAUAGCAGAGUAAAGUGACCCACGUGUGGGUUUUUGUAUGUAUGCUAUGAAUAAGGAUCGGCUAACUCCGUGCCAGCAGCCGAGGUAAUACGGAGGAUCCGAGCGUUAUCCGGAUUUAUUGGGUUGAAAGGGUGCGUAGGCGGAAAGAUAAGUCAGCCUGUGAAAGUUUGCGGCUCAACCGUAAAAUUGCAGUUGAUACUGUUUAGCUUGAGUGUACAUAAGGUAGGCGGAAUUCGUGGUGUAGCGGUGAAAUGCUUAGAUAUCACGAAGAACUCCGAUUGCGAAGGCAGCUUACCGGGGUACAACUGACGCUGAUGCACGAAAGUGUGGGUAUCAAACA
rnacentral:rRNA from 1 species